rnacentral:pre_miRNA from 1 species
AAAAAGACAAACUGUGGGUUCCCGUGCCAACAUUUAACUGUCUGUCUUAUAUGAUUUUUUUUAUAAUUAUUAUUUUCGUUGUUGUUAGAUGAUAAAACAUGAUUAAUACUUUAUGCGUGGCUUAUAUUUUUAAUUUUUUUUUAUAAUUUUUUUAAAUAAGACGGACGAUUAAAUGUUAGACACGGAAACCAGGGUU